UUUAUCCAAUGACGUCUACAAAAGCGAAAACAACGUUUAAGUGGAAAUCAUUCUUCACGGAGAAACAUCGUCCAGUAUUCAUUACUACUCAUUAUACCAGCUCACGUAGUUCGUCAUCCCUACUUUCAAUUGAUUCGAGUCAACCAACCGUACCCGUCGCUGAAUGUAAAUGACGCGACGCGUCAUGAGAACGAGUAAACGCGCCUCCGUCGGCGUCCUCAUUGCAAAACAUUUCCAACGUCUAUUAUCAUUUGUAAAUAACUCCGGCAUAUAAACAUUUCUAAGAAACACUGUAACAUUUAUGUAAAACCCCGAGAAAGACGAGUAAAGGCCAAAAGUCUUCGUCUCGACAUCCUGCGUCUCUGGAAAGACUGUAACAACUUCGGAUGUUUAAACUAUUAAAAGUGAAAAAGUGUUAAACA